rnacentral:rRNA from 1 species
GAUGAACGCUGGCAGCGUGCCUAAUACAUGCAAGUCGAGCGAACAGACGAGGAGCUUGCUCCUCUGACGUUAGCGGCGGACGGGUGAGUAACACGUGGAUGACCUACCUAUAAGACUGGGAUAACUUCGGGAAACCGGAGCUAAUACCGGAUAAUAUAUUGAACCGCAUGGUUCAAUAGUGAAAGACGGUUUUGCUGUCACUUAUAGAUGGAUCCGCGCCGCAUUAGCUAGUUGGUAAGGUAACGGCUUACCAAGGCAACGAUGCGUAGCCGACCUGAGAGGGUGAUCGGCCACACUGGAACUGAGACACGGUCCAGACUCCUACGGGAGGCAGCAGUAGGGAAUCUUCCGCAAUGGGCGAAAGCCUGACGGAGCAACGCCGCGUGAGUGAUGAAGGUCUUCGGAUCGUAAAACUCUGUUAUUAGGGAAGAACAAAUGUGUAAGUAACUAUGCACGUCUUGACGGUACCUAAUCAGAAAGCCACGGCUAACUACGUG